UUUUUUUUUUGCCACAUCAAAAAGCUUAUACAUUAUGCAAGCUCUUUUAAGCAUAGCAGUUCAGAAGAGAUGUUGCAAAUGGUUUGUUACAUAAUCCAAGCUUCGAACAGAAGGUUCCUUACAGCAAGGGUCUAGAUAUCCAGAUUUUCCAAAUAUUAAGAAAAUAACAGAUAAUAAUUUAACGGCCUUGACCACGACCACGUCCACGUCCUCUUCCCCUACCACAGCCCAAAGGCCUCCCUGCAGUAGGCUUCUUGGGCUUCACUCUAGGAGUCUCUUCAACAAGCAAAGUUUCCAGAUUUAAGCUGUCGGGAAGGAUGUAGUAACG
rnacentral:lncRNA from 1 species